GAUUGGGGAUGUAAAGCUGGAUCAUAAAAUAGAUAGAGAAAUACAAUUUCGUUGAUUAAUACUAGCUAGGCUAAUAAUUGUAAAACUCGACUCAUCUACGGAACGGACAUGCUACGGUAGUUAACACAGCUGUAUUCCGCAUUUUUCCAGAGCCCGUCUACCUGCAGCGACAUCACUGAAUGCAGCGAGACGAAAAGAGAAAACUACUAAAGAACAUGGAUUCGAAUAACAAAAACGAAAGUGAAAGUUGUAGCCUACCCUUAUCCGAGCGAGCUGGAAUGUAGCCACUACUACAACACGACCUAAGGAAUCAUAAUCGGCAGCUCUUUUUCAUUCCAAUCAAAACCUUACCUACUGUCUUGGUACUGUCUACCAUCUCGUCUAUUUCUAGCAUGCUACCUCCGGCCGUGGUAGAUUGA